UCCUUGGAGGUCUAGUGGUUAGGCCUCGGCGCUCUCUCGGCCGUGACCUGGGUUUGAUUCCCGGCCAGGGAA